UAUGACUUUGGAUUCAAAAUUAAUACAGUACUCUAUUAUUUCUCUCUCUCAUCAAUACUACUGGUCAGUGGUCGCUCUCUCAGUCAUUUCAGUUUUUAGAGAGAAUUAAAAAAUAAACUCCAUAUACAUAUCCUCCAAUCCUCUCCGGAUGCUUUCCUUUGUUUCUCGGAGAAACUGUGCUGGACAUCUCCUCCGACCAGACUUUAACUGAAGUCCUCUUUCUCCCUCUUUGUCUGUAUAUAUCUAUUUUUUAGUUUGACAAAAUACCAAGCUGUGUAUUCCGGCCAACCAAUUACAAUCUGGUCAGCCCAUCACCGAAUCUAUCAAGAUCUGCUCACCCCAUCACCAUCACUACGCAUCAAUAUCCGGUAGUGGGUGUGGAUGUGUUUUCCAAUUCCACAUAUCAAUUUAUCCUUCUAAAGUUAAUUCGAUAUCUAUAUAGUAUAAUUUUAUACGUAAUUGAUAAAAUAAACAAUUCCUUAUCUUUGUAGUUAAAGAUGAUCACACACACUAAAUUAGUUUUUGGGUCUAUUCAAAUAUGUCGCCCACUUUUAUUUUAGUUAUCAUUAUCUAAUAAUUAUUAUUAAUUGUGCUCAACCGAGUGAGCUGUUGCUAAACUGGCGUGUAAGGUAUGGCUGAAAUUGCCGAUGCAUCCACUAAGGUUGAUGCAGAAGAGGAUAUACACUAAAGAUGGCAUGGCACUGUUGACUACAAAAAUAAUCUUGCUAAUAAGAAGGUUAUAGGGAGCUUGAAGGCCUGCACUUCAAUCUUGAAUGGCGAUAAAUAAGCAGGCGUAAUGUGUUUUGCUAGAAGACACACCCAACAAUGAUCAAGAAUCUCUAAAGUGGAGACAUCAUGAGUCCUGACUCCUGACUAAUGUACAACUAUGUCUAUGAAAGUUAAUCUUUUAUGUAAAAACAUUCAAGACAUUACGGGUCACCAUAGAAGCUACUUUUUGGUUGUCAAUUAUAUCCACCGCAACGCUCGGGUACCAUGCUAGUAUAUCAAAUGAAGAUUAGAGAGAUAUUUAUACCUUGUGGAAAAUUCUUAUGAAAAUGGUGACCUCAGUAGUAGCAGCUCCUUAACUCUUCUCCACAGGCAUCACUUGCAGGAGACAAACAUGCACCAAAAGUUAAAGCUUUUCCUAGCUAGCUAUACUUGUGAUGUGCAAACAAGCUAGUUAAUGAAAUAUGUAUAUAUAUAUAUAUAUAUAUAUGGUAGAGAUAUAUAUAUAUAUGGUAGAGAUCUAAAGAGAAGGUUCUUAAGCAGAGAAGGGAAAGAAGGUUUGUUUUUUAUUA